CAACUUUCAGCGACGGAUCUCUUGGCUCUCGCAUCGAUGAAGAACGCAGCGAAAUGCGAUAAGUAAUGUGAAUUGCAGAAUUCAGUGAAUCAUCGAAUCUUUGAACGCACCUUGCGCUCCUUGGUAUUCCGAGGAGCAUGCCUGUUUGAGUGUCAUUA
rnacentral:rRNA from 1 species